rnacentral:rRNA from 1 species
GACGAACGCUGGCGGCGUGCUUAACACAUGCAAGUCGAACGGAAAGGCCCUGCUUUUGUGUGGUGCUCGAGUGGCGAACGGGUGAGUAACACGUGAGUAACCUUCCCUUGACUUUGGGAUAACUUCAGGAAACUGGGGCUAAUACCGGAUAGGAGCUCCUGCUGCAUGGUGGGGGUUGGAAAGUUUCGGCGGUUGGGGAUGGACUCGCGGCUUAUCAGCUUGUUGGUGUGGUAGUGGCUUACCAAGGCUUUGACGGGUAGCCGGCCUGAGAGGGUGACCGGCCACAUUGGGACGGAGAUACGGCCCAGACUCCUACGGGAGGCAGCAGUGGGGACUAUUGCCCACUGGGCGGAAGCCUGAUGCAGCAACGACGCGUGCGGGAAGACGGCCUUCGGGUUGUAAACCGCUUUCGCCUGCGACGAAGCGUGAGUGACGGUAAUGGGUAAAGAAGCACCGGCUAACUACGU